AUUGAACGCUGGCGGCAGGCCUCACACAUGCAAGUCGAACGCGUGGCGGACGGGUGAGUAAUGUCUGGGAAACUGCCUGAUGGAGGGGGAUAACUACUGGAAACGGUAGCUAAUACCGCAUACCAUCGGAUGUGCCCAGAUGGGAUUAGCUAGUAGGUGGGGGAAAGGCUCACCUAGGCGACGAUCCCUAGCUGGUCUGAGAGGAUGACCAGCCACACCGGAACCGAGACACGGGCCAGACUCCUACGGGAGGCAGCAGUGGGGAAUAUGGCACAAUGGGCGCAAGCCGGAUGCAGCCAUGCCGCGUGGAUGAAGAAGGCCUUCGGGUUGUAAAGUACUUUCAGCGGGGAGGCGUUACCCGCAGAAGAAGCACCGGCUAACUCCGUGCCAGCAGCCGCGGUAAUUC
rnacentral:rRNA from 1 species